GCGUAGCAGUAAUGCCGGUCACCGCAAGCGGCUUGUUCGCCCGUGGAAUUGAAAGCAGUGGUUUUAUGCACCGGGCCAUCAGGUCUGAGAACUAUUGUCUGUAGCGGCAGAGAAAAGGUCUCGGCUCCGGACAGUGGCCCGAGUGCCAAGCGCCUAGAGGCGUGUUCCACUGAACAGCCCGAGUUAGACGCAUCCAAGUCGUUGUCUUUCCGCAUCAUCGCGGUGGGUCUCAGUGAAUUGUGGGAGACACGGACCAACUCACAUCCCACCAUACGUUUCAGACGUGCGUGAGCCCACUGGACUAGCCAGUGAUUAGAUCGCACAACGCUUUUUCCGCGGCCGAUUCCACGGUCUCUUGACUUCUCACAGCUGUGAUCUCCGCCUUCAGCUUCCUGCGGACGGCCCGGGGAAAGCUUGCCGGGGUGGAACUUAAAAAAGGCCUAUUCCUCCUUGUCCAUUCGUAGACAGAAGACACAACGAGAUGUUGACACUUCCAGUGCUCGCAGGGAUCUCCCAAUCCGCGAAGAAUAUUCUCCUCCUCAACAAUCACCCUGACUACCUCAUCGUCAACAGUUGGAUGAUUAAUAUUAGAACGUAAUUAUUGGGGCCCCAUCCCGCUUCAAAAAUCGGAGAAAUAUCGUCUCAACGAGUGGAGGAGCGAAAAUUUGACGGUCACGCUGUAAUCCUUGGACUGUGAGGACCAGUCGCUUUUGGAAGAUGACCAAGCGGGUGAUGCGAGUCGUCACUCCGUCGCCGUUUAGGAUGUGUGAAUGCACAGAAUACCAUCAGGAGGCUGCUGAAGAAUUUCACCCAAACUGAGUCAGCAAAAGAUAAUUUACCUCUUGAAACUCCACUUGAUAAGGUCCAAAAUUAUACAAAUGUUAUUGCAGCAGCCCUGUGAAAUGGAGUAAACCUUUCAUGAAAUUUGGCAAAACUAUAGUAAAACUGUAAGAUGUAUCCAGUAAAAAGAGAAGUAAUGAACAUGUAUCUGAACCAAGACCAAAAAAUUCAGACAAAUCAUAAUUCAGUACGAGUGCCAGAGAGUGUAUUGGUGAUGUGACAGUCAGUUUCUACAGAGCAGAAAAAAAAACCUUUACAGCCAAGUGUGCCCAGACGUGGUAUGCAGGAAACCUUUUACCAAUGUGUCAGAUGCAAGUGUCAUAAGUUAAAUACUAAUCGAAUCAUCAUUCAAGAUAUUCCACUGAGAUGUCACUCACAGUGCAUACAUAGUACUGCAAAAGACCACACACAUGAUGGAAUUGGCGGCUGAGUCGAGUUCUGCUCUUUGUGAGUGACCAAUCAGCGCAAAGAAGGUCUGUUGGUAAGCAGGGAGAUCUCAGUCUGAUCAGAAACCCCGUGGUAGAAGCAUCAGCAGCCGCACUGCAUUGUUGCCAAUUCUUGCAUGUUCUUUGCGUAGUGUUGUAACCAUUCACUGGAAUCCAAUGUUCCACGAUGCUACAUUUGGCACCACUCUAUGUUGUUUCCUCACUAUCUCACCCCUCCACCUACCACCACUACUUCCUACCAUGGCACAGCACAUGUGAUUGGUGCACGCUUCAGCCGCCAAUUUGGCUGAAAACUUUAUAGUAACAUUGUUCUUAAUUUGAAUGGUGUCAUAAAAACAUGUUUCUGGGUGGUCUGCAAAGAGCACCAUGAUAUCCAGGUUCUGUGUGAACUGAGAAAGUUGGAGAAUCACUGUUGCAAGAUAUUUAGUAUAUAACUAUCUUAAAAAACUAAAACGUUCAGUGUGAAGGAUAGAUGGUCUUAAUGAUGGCGUGUUACAUUCAGUAUUGCUGUUUCUUUGGACUUGAUCCAUCAUACAGUAUUCUAAAAUGAAACCACUACAUUUCAGGAAGUUGCUCUGCUUCUGUCUUCAGGUGAAUCUCAAUCUGUGGGAUUAGCCCAUUCUGUCACACCCAACAGAGUAGGCAUUAUCUCUUGAAGAUGAAAGCAGGGUCAGCUCCCAAAACGUCAUUGUUUAAUUUUGGCAUUGUGAAUGGUUCAAGACUAGAGAAACAGCAAUAAUGAAUUUUCCUUGUUCAAAUUCAAUAUCACCAGCCUCUUGUUAAAACUGGAGGUAGAAUGCUUAAAGAAGUUUGAACGCAAUAUGAUUAUAGAUAUUUCUCACUAAAAUUGCAUAAUUUCUGUUCUUAAUUUACAGUGACAUAUAUUUAUUGCUACCUAA